rnacentral:rRNA from 1 species
UACGGGGGGAGCAAGCGUUGUUCGGAUUUACUGGGCGUAAAGGGCGCGUAGGCGGCCACAACAAGUCACUUGUGAAAUCUCCGGGCUUAACCCGGUAGCGGCCAAGUGAUACUGUUGGGCUAGAGUGCGGAAGGGGCAACUGGAAUUCUCGGUGUAGCGGUGAAAUGCGUAGAUAUCAAGAGGAACACCUGCGGCGAAGGCGGGUUGCUGGGCCGACACUGACGCUGAGGCGCGAAAGCUAGGGGAGCGAACGGG